UGGCACAGGAAGGCCCCCACACACAUGAGA
rnacentral:piRNA from 2 species